rnacentral:lncRNA from 10 species
UAUUUGACUAGGUUCUUGAAGAAUGAGUAGAUUUAAAGACUUGGAGAUGAUAUUUUAGUCUGAAGAAAUGGCACAGAUGAUGCCAUGAAGGGCUCCUCCUCAGCAUGUCCCAGGACAGUUUUAUAGCUCUGUAUGGAAUGCAGAUGGAUGGCUGCCUGUUUCCAUUUCAUGCUUUGGAUUUACAGGUGCAGGUUGUAUAGCUUCUCAGCGUUACUGAAAUUGGAAAACAUUUCUAAAGCUUGCAGCAUGUCAAGCCCUGUGAUUUUGAA